AUUGAACGCUGGCGGAAUGCUUUACACAUGCAAGUCGAACGGCAGCACGGACUUCGGUCUGGUGGCGAGUGGCGAACGGGUGAGUAAUGUAUCGGAACGUGCCCAGUCGUGGGGGAUAACGUAGUGAAAAUUACGCUAAUACCGCAUACGAUCUAUGGAUGAAAGCGGGGGAUCGCAAGACCUCGCGCGAUUGGAGCGGCCGAUAGCAGAUUAGGUAGUUGGUGGGGUAAAGGCCCACCAAGCCAACGACCUGUAGUUGGUCUGAGAGGACGACCAGCCACACUGGAACGGAGACACGGUCCAGACUCCUACGGGAGGCAGCAGUGGGGAAUUUUGGACAAUGGGCGAAAGCCUGAUCCAGCCAUUCCGCGUGCAGGAUGAAGGCCCUCGGGUUGUAAACUGCUUUUGUACAGAACGAAAAGGUUUCUACUAAUACUAGGAGCUCAUGACGGUACUGUAAGAAUAAGCACCGGCUAACUACGUGCCAGCAGCCGCGGUAA
rnacentral:rRNA from 1 species